GAUGAACGCUGGCGGCGUGCCUAAUACAUGCAAGUCGAGCGAACGGACGAGAAGCUUGCUUCUCUGAUGUUAGCGGCGGACGGGUGAGUAACACGUGGAUAACCUACCUAUAAGACUGGGAUAACUUCGGGAAACCGGAGCUAAUACCGGAUAAUAUUUUGAACCGCAUGGUUCAAAAGUGAAAGACGGUCUUGCUGUCACUUAUAGAUGGAUCCGCGCUGCAUUAGCUAGUUGGUAAGGUAACGGCUUACCAAGGCAACGAUGCAUAGCCGACCUGAGAGGGUGAUCGGCCACACUGGAACUGGGACGCGGUCCAGACUCCUACGGGGAGCAGCAGUAGGGAAUCUUCCGCAAUGGGCGAAAGCCUGACGGAGCAACGCCGCGUGAGUGAUGAAGGUCUUCGGAUCGUAAAACUCUGUUAUUAGGGAAGAACAUAUGUGUAAGUAACUGUGCACAUCUUGACGGUACCUAAUCAGAAAGCCACGGCUAACUACGUG
rnacentral:rRNA from 1 species